AGCUGGCAGCCGUCAACCGCCAACUCGUCCAGCACUCUGUACUCCACUGUCCAUAUUGCAAAUUAGCAAGCAGCAAACUCCAAAUUGAUUGAUUUCAUUUUGUUAUUAAAGUAUGAUUCCAAGCUGAUUGAUUUCAUUUUGUUAUUGAAGUAUGAUUGCAUGAACUAGUAAUUUUUAUUUUGUGCACGGUGCAUUGCCAAUUUCUUAAGUUAGAAGUUAGAAUGUUACAACAGUUGAUGGGUCAUUUUAUUUUCAAUUUAGGUCUCGAAAUGAAAAGGAGGAGGGAGCAUGCAAUUGAUCUGAAGGCUUUUUUGGAAAGAAGUGCUUCAAAGAAGACAACUCAAAAUAAAAAUCGAGGUGAAACUUAAGGUGAGGACAAUCUCAAUAGCAACCGUUCUUCUGAUCACAGUCAGAUGCUUUUGUUAUUCAAUUAAAUAUGACUUUAGGCUCAAUUUGGCAUAUUGUGUUAUAUAUCGUAUAAUCACUUAGUGUUCAAUAUUAUAUAAGCCAAUUAGUGUGAUUUUGGGUAUAGUUUUUUUUACACCGUUACAUUUCUAAUACCCAAGUUUUAAAUCGCUAGAAGUAACAGUGGCUUAGCUAGCUACAUACUUUUAUGUUUACAUACGGAUCGUUGGCAUUUGAUGCUGGCUUGCCAAAUUCCCCGUCAAGGGUGUGGCUCCACACAGCCCCGUCCCAACGGGGCUAGGGACGAUUUUGACCAUACGGGGAAUCGGGGUUGGGGCCAGGGCUAGACGAUUUUGGCCCAUGGCCCCCUGAGUUUCUUAAAAAAAAUAAAAAUAGUUGGGCCAGGCCCAAGAAUAGCAAACCUGAGAGUAUGAAUCUCAUCCAGUCCAUGUACUCACCCAUGUCGUCUUCUAGCGAUUUUUUUUAUUUUUUAAACCUUUUUAAUAAAUAAUUUUAUUACUAAACUUUGGAAGAAAAUAUUUUCACCGUAUGAACUUUUUGACCACGCCACCAACACUGACAUGGCAAAACAAAGCUACUAUGUAGAGUUUUUGUUGUGAUAGGCUUAUCACACCAUUGUCAGUGGCGUGGCAGCAUUGUCUUGCCACUCCACUGACACUAGCGUGGCAUGAUUGCCAUGCCAAUCAGACUGCGUGAUAGCGUUGUUUUGCCAUGGCACCAGCAUUGGCAUAGCUAAAAAGUUCAUACGGUUUUUAUCCGAGGUUUAUAAUAAAAUUAUUUAUACAAAAUGUUUAGAAAAUAAAAAAAAAUUCCCCUCUGGCUGCCUCAGCCCUUUGUGCCUCCUUCAGUCGUCCUCGCCUGUUGUCGCCUUCCGCCCGCCAGCCCUCCGCAGCCACCUUUCGCCCCCAACGCCCUCUGCCCUUCGCCCGAGUCGCCCAAUGUUAGCUUUGGCCCAAAGAUUAAAUGGCACACCCACACAAGUAGCAACUCACACGAGAUACAUACGCACGAGUAGCAAAUUUCAGCGGAGGCACACAUUGUAUUUUCGGCGACCAACACCGGCGGCGGCAAAGCACGUAUAGCUAUACACACACUUGCAGAUGGCUGAAAUAAGGAUGGACACAAGCUUCUUACGACAAACAUCUUUUUUCAUUGUUCACUUAGCUUAGUACAUCACAGGGCUAAUUUAUAGCCGAGUGGAUACACCACUACGUACGCGCACGACUAACUAGUACAUGCACUGCCCCACUAAUUAACUACUUCAUGCACAAGCUAACAACUAAUUAAUGCGUGCAUGGCUGCGGCUACCUACUGCAUGCACUAGCUAAUGGCCAUAGACUAACUCAUGCAACACAUUCACCCGCUGACCGCUACUCUACUCUAACUAAUUAGUUUAGCUAACUAAUUGAUGCACGCAAGCACCACUAACCGUGAACAAUUUAAUGUGAACACAUCACAUUUUUAGCUAUUACAUACAUGCAUGACUGCUUAGCACAUGUCCAACAUAUGGCAUGGCUCAAGCUAAUUAGCUAAUUCAACACAGGACAACAAGAUUAGUGCUAACACCCAGCACCGCCGGCCUCAGCUCGCCGCCUGACACCGACGUCUUACGCCCGAAUACUUGACGCCUCUGCCCAAUGCGGCCGGCCUCAUCUCGUCGCUGCCAGCCUCCACUCGACGCUGAUCACUGAGAGCGUGAGUAACUUAUGUUUUAUUUUGGUCAACCUCGCUAGAGAUAUAGAUACAUACAAUUAAAAAUAAUAGAGUUCAAUAGAAACCCUAAAGAUCAACAUAAAAUUAUAGAGAGAUAUGAUAGAAUAUUUAUCUUGUACUCUAAAUUUCUAUCUUCUAUUUAUCCUAUAAAUAUAGCCACAAGAGUCAGUGUAAUAUACAACAGAUCAUACGUCAUAGAUUUCUCUUCUAUCUAAUAUUUUCUACAUGUUAUUAGAGGCUAGAUCCUGAUACCAGUUGUCGAGUUUGAGUCAACGUCGACACGCCGGCGGUAGCUCGCCACCGGCGAGCCCAUCCAACAGAUCGGUGAUGCCUAUGCAUGCUCGGUGCCAAGAACGUUCCAUCGUUCAACGUCUUCAAUCAUUCAACAGCAAGAUGGCAAGGACGUCGUCCAUCGAUCAUCAUCUUUUUCAACGCGGCAGAAGCAGAGAUGUGACGACAUCAAUCAACCAACAAGUAAGCACUAUAUCAAGCGGUCGACGUCUUCACCGAAUCUUCACAUCCGUAU
rnacentral:lncRNA from 1 species